UACGGGGGGGGCAAGCGUUGUUCGGAAUUACUGGGCGUAAAGGGCUCGUAGGUGGCCAACUAAGUCAGACGUGAAAUCCCCAGGCUCAACUUGGGAACUGCGUCUGAUACUGGAUGGCUUGAAUUCGGGAGAGGGAUGCAGAAUUCCAGGUGUAGCGGUGAAAUGCGUAGAUAUCAGGAGGAACACCGGUGGCGAAGGCGGCUUUCUGGACAGAUACCGACGCUGAGGCACGAAAGCUAGGGGAGCAAACAGG
rnacentral:rRNA from 1 species